rnacentral:lncRNA from 1 species
CGCAUGAAUGGAACGGGCUAUGCAAGCCUACCAGCAGCAGCAGCUCCUACAGGAGGGUGCCACACAGCUUCUGUGCUUCACAGCUGGUAUGAAUGCCUUCCGGCAGCAGCUCCAGGCCCAGCAGCAGAUCCAGGCAGCUCACAGGCUCCACUGUGCAGUCCGCCACUGUGCUGAGCUCUGGAAAAAGAAGGUGCUUGGUCUAGGCAAGACUUCUCAACCACCAGCACCCACCACAUUCAGCAAGAGAGUGACAUUUAAGGAUUCCUUCCUCCCUGGACAUGCUGCAGAGGCUGGAGAUGCUACCCUGGAGACAAAGAAGCUUCAAGCUCCUCCAUCUCAGGGAGUCCUGGGUAGUUUGGCAGGUGUUGCUGGGGAGCCCUGCCUCCUAGACCUGUGAGUGGACUGUGGUUCACCUCUGCCUCUAGUCCUAGAGCCAAAGCUGGACAAACACACAAGAGGGACAAACAGCUGUGGGAAGGACAAGAUGAGAGUGCCACAGCCUCAUCACACCAGAGCUGCUCAGGGGCCUGUGUCAGG